rnacentral:pre_miRNA from 1 species
AAUAUACGACGCCGUUGAUUUUUAUUCAACGUUUGACCAUUCAUUUUAUUCAAAAACUUUAUGUAAUUAUCAUUUAUUUUAUUGUGAUUGGAUUCAUCAUCAAAUGUUCUUUAAGUAUGACAUAAAUAUUUUCAUAUUUGCACAAAAAUUUCAAAUAAAACAAAUGGUCAAACGUUGGUAAAAAAAUCAACGGUGUCAUACAUU